UGCCCAAGAGAUCGGGAUAACACCUGGAAACAGAUGCUAAUACCGGAUAACAACAUAUGAUGCCUAUCAACUGUUUAAAAGAUGGUUCUGCUAUCACUCUUGGAUGGACCUGCGGUGCAUUAGCUAGUUGGUAGGGUAACGGCCUACCAAGGCGAUGAUGCAUAGCCGAGUUGAGAGACUGAUCGGCCACAUUGGGACUGAGACACUGCCCAAACUCCUACGGGAGGCAGCAGCG
rnacentral:rRNA from 1 species